CGCCUGCCCCGUGACAAAAGUUUAACGGCCGCGGUAUUUUGACCGUGCAAAGGUAGCGCAAUCACUUGUCUUUUAAAUGAAGACCUGUAUGAAUGGCAUAACGAGGGCUUAACUGUCUCCUUUUCCCAAUCAAUGAAAUUGAUCUCCCCGUGCAGAAGCGGGGAUAUACACAUAAGACGAGAAGACCCUAUGGAGCUUUAGAUACCAAGACAGAUCUUGUUAAACACCUCAAAAUAACGAAAAAAACUAAAAGAAACCUGCCCUAAUAUCUUUGGUUGGGGCGACCGCGGGGAAACAAACAACCCCCAUGUGGACUGAGAAAACAAAUCUCACAACCAAGAGCCACAGCUCUAGCUAGCAGAACUUCUGACCUUAAGAUCCGGCAAUGCCGAUCAACGGACCGAGUUACCCUAGGGAUAACAGCGCAAUCCUUUUUUAGAGUCCAUAUCGACAAAAGGGUUUACGACCUCGAUGUUGGAUCAGGACAUCCUAAUGGUGCAGCCGCUAUUAAGGGUUCGUUUGUUCAACGAUUAAAGUCCU
rnacentral:rRNA from 1 species